UACGUAGGGUGCGAGCGUUAAUCGGAAUUACUGGGCGUAAAGUGUGCGCAGGCGGCAGAGCAAGUCGAGUGUGAAAGCCCCGGGCUUAACUUGGGAAUUGCGCUCGAAACUACUUUGCUGGAGUGUGGCAGAGGAAGGUGGAAUUCCACGUGUAGCGGUGAAAUGCGUAGAGAUGUGGAGGAACACCAAUGGCGAAGGCAGCCCCCUGGGUUAACACUGACGCUCAUGCACGAAAGCGUGGGGAGCAAACAGG
rnacentral:rRNA from 1 species